rnacentral:rRNA from 1 species
CCUACGGGAGGCAGCAGUGAGGAAUAUUGGUCAAUGGGCGGAAGCCUGAACCAGCCAAGUAGCGUGCGGGAUGAAGGCCCUACGGGUCGUAAACCGCUUUUGCACGGGGAUAACACCCUCCACUUGUGGAGGUCUGCAGGUACCGUGCGAAUAAGGGCCGGCAAAUUCCGGUCCAGCAGCCGCGGUAAUACGGAAGGCCCGAGCGUUAUCCGGAUUCAUUUGGCUAAAAGGGAGCGUAGGCGGGCGUUAAAGUCAGCUGUAAAAUCGCGGGGCUCAACCGGGCCCCGGAGUUGAAACUGGACGCAUUGAGUUCACAAGAGGCAGGCGGAAUUCGUGGUGUAGCGGUGAAAUGCAUAGAUAUGACGAGGAACCCCGAUUGCGAAGGCAGCCUGCCGGGGUGCGACUGACGCUGAGGCUCGAAGGUGCGGGUAUCAAACAGGAUUAGAUACCCGAGUAGUC